rnacentral:misc_RNA from 1 species
GAAAGGGCAAAAGAUCAGACGGGAAACAGAAACAGAAGAUUGUAGUAGUACCCUGAGCGAGCUGAGAGGACUCAAAAGCUUAGCGAAAAUGGUGAAAGUUGCGACGUUCUUUGCUAUGUCUGUAGGAGCCUUCGCUUUCUGGCAAACCAUGGACAAAAUUCAUGUCUGGAUCGCUCUUCAUCAGGAUGAGAAGCAAGAGAGAAUGGAGAAGGAAGCAGAAAUCAGAAGAAUGAGAGCAGAGCUAAUCAGAGAAAACAAAAAGCGGGAGUCUCUUGCCUAAAGGCUGCUGAGAAUUGCGAACCUAAAGUUGCAUUCAGUUCAACAAUUUGUUUUUGCUGUCUUUUUGAACAUUUCUGGACCUCUGCUUCCUAAUUUCCAUAAAAUCAUGUAAUGAUGGUCAUGAAUGCCUUAAAUGUAAACUCAAGUUUGGACCUGUCUCAGUGCUCUGCUGUCAAUAGCAUGAUUAUGCUUGCACUGGUAAACAUGUAGCUUCUUUUAAUCUUACAAUAAAUACCAUUUUUUUGGUUUGGUUGGUC